rnacentral:rRNA from 1 species
GCAUAUCAAUAAGCGGAGGAAAAGAAACCAACCGGGAUUGCCUCAGUAACGGCGAGUGAAGCGGCAAGAGCUCAAAUUUGAAAUCUGGCCCCUCCGGGGUCCGAGUUGUAAUUUGCAGAGGAUGCUUCGGGUGCGGCCCCUGUCUAAGUGCCCUGGAACGGGCCGUCAGAGAGGGUGAGAAUCCCGUCUUGGGCAGGGUGCCCGUGCCCGUGUGAAGCUCCUUCGACGAGUCGAGUUGUUUGGGAAUGCAGCUCUAAAUGGGUGGUAAAUUUCAUCUAAAGCUAAAUACCGGCCGGAGACCGAUAGCGCACAAGUAGAGUGAUCGAAAGAUGAAAAGCACUUUGAAAAGAGAGUUAAACAGCACGUGAAAUUGUUGAAAGGGAAGCGCUUGCGACCAGACUCGGCCCCGGGGUUCAGCCAGCACUCGUGCUGGUGUACUUCCCCGGGGGCGGGCCAGCGUCGGUUUGGGCGGCCGGUCAAAGGCCCCAGGAAUGUGUCGCCCUCCGGGGCGUCUUAUAGCCUGGGGUGCAAUGCGGCCAGCCCGGACCGAGGAACGCGCUUCGGCACGGACGCUGGCGUAAUGGUCGCAAACGACCCGUCUUGAAACACGGACCAAGGAGUCUAACAUCUACGCGAGUGUUCGGGUGUCAAACCCGUACGCGCAGUGAAAGCGAACGGAGGUGGGAGCCCCGCAAGGGGCGCACCAUCGACCGAUCCUGAUGUCUUCGGAUGGAUUUGAGUAAGAGCGUAGCUGUGGGGACCCGAAAGAUGGUGAACUAUGCCUGAAUAGGGCGAAGCCAGAGGAAACUCUGGUGGAGGCUCGCAGCGGUUCUGACGUGCAAAUCGAUCGUCAAAUUUGGGUAUAGGGGCGAAAGACUAAUCGAACCAUCUGGUAGCUGGUUCCUGCCGA